rnacentral:lncRNA from 1 species
UUCUUGGGAGCCAUGGGUGGCGCCGAGUGUUCGACGGUGCUCUGCGCGGGCGCGGCGGUUGUUGUUGCGGUGCGGUGCGGUGCGGUGGUGGCUGGUUGGUUUGGCUGGUUGGAGCUGGGGGGAGGAGAGGCGGUAUUAAUAGCGGGGGCGGGAGGCGUGGAGGGGCCGGCGGGAGGGGCGGUUUGACCCACAGCCAGACAGAGGACGCGCCGCCCCGCGCCGUCUGUUCCUCCGCUAAUACCUCUCUCCCUCUGUUUCCUCUCUAUCUUGUUUUUUUUUUCUUGUGAUUUUCUUGGUGGUCUCUCUGCGUACUGGUGCGCAAGUGCAGUGCAGGUGCGGUGUCGUUGGUUGGUCGCUCGGUCACUCCGUACUAUACUCCGGCAGUGCUGGUUUGGUUAGGGUGAGUACUCCGAUUCUCUACCCCGGCGCCGUUAGUUCACGGCGAGUAGCUCUUUCUCUGUACAACUUUUUGUUCUGGCCGUCGAUCGAGGGGCGUGAAGAUGUUACUAAUCGC